rnacentral:rRNA from 1 species
AUUGAACGCUGGCGGCAGGCCUAACACAUGCAAGUCGAACGAGUGGCGGACGGGUGAGUACUGCCUGGGAAACUGCCUGAUGGAGGGGGAUAACUACUGGAAACGGUAGCUAAUACCGCAUACCAUCAGAUGUGCCCAGAUGGGAUUAGCUCGUAGGUGAGGUAACGGCUCACCUAGGCGACGAUCCCUAGCUGGUCUGAGAGGAUGACCAGCCAUCCUGGAACUGCAACACGGUCCAGACUCCUACGGGAGGCAGCAGUGGGGAAUAUUGCACAAUGGGCGCAAGCCUGAUGCAGCCAUGCCGCGUGUAUGAAGAAGGCCUUCGGGUUGUAAAGUACUUUCAGCGGGGAGGCGUUACCCGAAGAAGAAGCACCGGCUAACUCCGUGCCAGCAGCCGCGGUAAUUC